rnacentral:rRNA from 1 species
CAGUCGCCGCGGUAAUACGAACCGUGCGAACGUUAUUCGGAAUUACUGGGCUUAAAGCGCGUGUAGGCGGGCCGCCACGUCGGUUGCUGAAAUCCCCCGGCUCAACCGGGGAAGUGGUAUCGAUACGAGCGGCCUUGAGGGGGGUAGGGGGAUCUGGAACUUCCGGUGGAGCGGUGAAAUGCGUUGAGAUCGGAAGGAACGCCCGUGGCGAAAGCGAGGUCCUGGACCCUUUCUGACGCUGAGACGCGAAAGCCAGGGGAGCGAACGGGAUUAGAUACCCGUGUAGUCCCUGUCUCUUAUA